AGAGUUUGAUCAUGGCUCAGAUUGAACGCUGGCGGAAUGCUUUACACAUGCAAGUCGAACGGCAGCACGGGGGCAACCCUGGUGGCGAGUGGCGAACGGGUGAGUAAUGUAUCGGAACGUACCCAGUCGUGGGGGAUAACUAUCCGAAAGGAUAGCUAAUACCGCAUACGUCCUGAGGGAGAAAGCGGGGGAUCGCAAGACCUCGCGCGAUUGGAGCGGCCGAUAUCGGAUUAGCUAGUUGGUGAGGUAAAGGCUCACCAAGGCGACGAUCCGUAGCGGGUCUGAGAGGACGACCCGCCACACUGGAACUGAGACACGGUCCAGACUCCUACGGGAGGCAGCAGUGGGGAAUUUUGGACAAUGGGCGCAAGCCUGAUCCAGCCAUUCCGCGUGAGUGAAGAAGGCCUUCGGGUUGUAAAGCUCUUUCAGCGGGGACGAAACGGUCAGCUCUAAUAAAGCUGGCUAAUGACGGUACCUGCAGAAGAAGCACCGGCUAACUACGUGCCAGCAGCCGCGGUAAUACGUAGGGUGCGAGCGUUAAUCGGAAUUACUGGGCGUAAAGCGUGCGCAGGCGGUUCUAUAAGACAGAUGUGAAAUCCCCGGGCUUAACCUGGGAACUGCGUUUGUGACUGUAGGACUUGAGUGUAGCAGAGGGGGGUGGAAUUCCACGUGUAGCAGUGAAAUGCGUAGAGAUGUGGAGGAACACCGAUGGCGAAGGCAGCCCCCUGGGUUAACACUGACGCUCAUGCACGAAAGCGUGGGGAGCAAACAGGAUUAGAUACCCUGGUAGUCC
rnacentral:rRNA from 1 species